rnacentral:rRNA from 1 species
UACGAAGGGUGCAAGCGUUACUCGGAAUUACUGGGCGUAAAGCGUGCGUAGGUGGUUUGUUAAGUCUGAUGUGAAAGCCCUGGGCUCAACCUGGGAACUGCAUUGGAAACUGGCUGACUAGAGUGCGGUAGAGGGGUGUGGAAUUCCCGGUGUAGCAGUGAAAUGCGUAGAUAUCGGGAGGAACAUCUGUGGCGAAGGCGACACCCUGGACCAGCACUGACACUGAGGCACGAAAGCGUGGGGAGCGAACAGG